UAUUGUUGCCCUGAGACGUAGAUCUUGGAUCGCUGGAGGUACCUUCUUCUGAUGAACUCCUCGACAGGACUUAACUUCCAAAUUCAGGUAGGCGAAGAAAGAAGGACUUCUCAACAAAUUUAUCAAGAUGUCUAAAUUGCCUGUUAUUUUUUUCAUAUCAAGCACAUCAUAUUUCCUAUUCAAGGGAAUAACCUUCUAUUUGGUGGGCCUUUUUCUUUCCACGUGAUCGGAGUAUGAAACUGUUGAUUUCAAAUUCCUUCUGGGCGUCGACAAUCACGCUUGGAGUUAAAUACUCAAAAGGCCACUUAUCUUCCGAGCUCUUGACAUGUGAGAGCAAUCCAGCCCAACACAUCAAUUUCCUUUUAAUCAUGUUUUUAAUUGCAUUUUUAGUACCUCAUGGCCGGAUCGCUAGCACUGGAGGUUUUGAGGUUGAAACAACCUUGCAAUAUUUAAAUUAUGGCAUUCCUACACACUCUCUAUAUAGUGCCAAGGAAUGACACCCUUGAUAUAUAAAUUUCUCUGUCCAUCUCACUGAUGCUGCCAUUUCCUUUUAAUCAUAUUUUUUAUUGAAUUUUUAGCAUUAGACUGUCGGAUUGCACUGGUCAAUUCUGGAAGUUGGAACUUAUUGACCUUAACGGCCUUUUUUUCAUAUUUCCUUUUUUAGAGUAUCAAUAAUAUUUGUCUUUUAUUAUAUUUUUGUUGAAUUAAGGCAAUAUUUCUACUGAGUAUAUAAUUAAUGGGCAAGUCUCAUAUAUUAAGAAUGAGAGUAGGUAUAGACGAGGUGAUUAGUAUUGAUCAAACUGUGUACUUCACUACAACCAAUUAAAACCACCCAAAAGAAUUGCACAGUUUAAUUUCAUAAGAUCUAAAUGUUUCAACUAACAUUAUCUUCUAAGAAAUUAUGCUCUGGGGGUGUUCUUGACUGGUGAGUGCUGAAUCUGUGUGCCAUUUAAUCAAUUCUUUAAUUGAAAUGUAUAAAUGCAAAAUCCAAAGAUAUACACAAAUUUAUUAAUGAGUGUUCUUUUAAUUGUUAACAUACUGCAUUUACCUAAAUUACAUGUCAAGAUAAAAAAAUCUCAAAUUUUAUUUGUAGAACUGUCGUUACUUUAGCUGUGUAAUUUGUUUUUUAACAACCUACACAUAUAUACAAAUUGACAGGAAUUAGUUCAUCCGAUAUUGACGCCUCCUGGAUAAACCCCCUACACACAAUAUUAAGAUUAAAAAAGCAUUAGUUGCAUGAGAUCCGGGGUUUUUGGAAGCUUCACUUUGAUGAGGACGGGCUGCACCGCUGACUUUUAUAGACUUAAGGCUUAAUGACCAACAAGGUUGCAGCCUUAAAUUGUUUUUUAUUAUUAUUUUAUUAUUAGGAUUGAUCUGCAGCUAUUGUGUGUGAACGUUCAAGCUAAGGAAG